rnacentral:tRNA from 1 species
GGGCUGUUAGCUCAGUUGGUUUAGAGCAUCACGUCGACAACGUGAGGGUCGGCGGUUCGAGCCCGUCACAGCCCA